UACGGAGGGUGCAAGCGUUAUCCGGAUUCACUGGGUUUAAAGGGUGCGUAGGCGGGCAGGUAAGUCCGUGGUGAAAUCUCUGAGCUUAACUCAGAAACUGCCAUGGAUACUAUUUGUCUUGAAUAUUGUGGAGGCAAGCGGAAUAUGUCAUGUAGCGGUGAAAUGCUUAGAUAUGACAUAGAACACCCAUUGCGAAGGCAGCUUGCUACACAAUGAUUGACGCUGAGGCUCGAAAGCGUGGGGAUCAAACAGG
rnacentral:rRNA from 1 species